rnacentral:rRNA from 1 species
UACAGAGGUCUCAAGCGUUGUUCGGAUUCAUUGGGCGUAAAGAGCUCGUAGGCGGUUUGGCAAGUCGGGUGUGAAAACUCCGGGCUCAACUCGGAGACGCCACUCGAUACUGCCAUGACUCGAGUCCGGUAGGGGAGUGGCGGAAUUCCUGGUGUAGCGGUGAAAUGCGCAGAUAUCAGGAGGAACACCGGUGGCGAAGGCGGCACUCUGGGCCGGUACUGACGCUGAGGAGCGAAAGCGUGGGGAGCGAACAGG